CAGGUUUCAUCUUGCAUCAUGCAAGUUAAAAGAAUGACAGCAUUCGAGUCUCCUGAUAACCAAAUUAAUUGCAGCAGCUUCUUAGGCCUUCUAAAAUGAUUGGCUUCACCUGCAAGGAGAUAAGGACUAAAAUGAUUGGCUUCAACUGCAAGGAGAUAAGGAUUGGCUUCAACUGCAAGGAGUUAAGGACUAAAAUGAUUGGCUUCAACUGCAAGGAGAUAAGGACCGAUCCCCAAUUUCCAAGUUGAGGUUUGAGGAUCACCUGUUUCCAAUUUUCUGGGAAAUUGCUCUUUUCAAGGUACAUGUCAGAUUUGUACAUCCAACUUUAAAUAGUAAAAGUUUUUCAGUGGACUACGG
rnacentral:lncRNA from 1 species